rnacentral:tRNA from 1 species
GGGGCUGUAGCCUAUUAGGUAAAAGCGCUGGCCUGAAAAGCCUGAGAUGUUGGUUCGAUUCCAACCGGCCCCACCA